GUUUGAGGUGCUAAGGAUGUUUAUUUUUCUGUCCAUUCACGUGGUUUUGUUUCGUUCUCGCCACCGGCGUAUUUGUAGCAGCCCCGUGAGAUCUGUUUAAUCCUGCUGGGUUUUAGACGAGUUUAGCUCUCACUCUUAUCAGAGAGACAGUGAGACAGAUACUGAGACAGACCGACAGUGACUAGGAGAGAUGGUUAGAUAGAUAGACAGACAAAAGAGGGCAGGCAGACUGAGAGAGUAAGACAUACGUGUGACAGGCAGACAGUGAGACAGUAAAACAGACAGUGAGACGGGCAGAGAGGCCGACAGUAAGGCAGACAGUGAGACAGUAAAACAGACAGUGACGAGCAGAGAGUCAGACAGUAAGGCAGACAGUGAGACGGGCAGAGAGUCCGACAGUAAAACAACAGUGUGACGGGCAGAGAGUCAGACAGUAAGGCAGACAGUGAGACAGUAAGGCAGACAGUGAGACGGGCAGAGAGUCAGACAGUAAGGGCAGACAUGUGAUGGGCAGAGAGUCAGACAGUAAGGCAGACAGUGAGACGUAGGCAGACAGUGAGACGGGCA
ensembl:lncRNA